AUCAUACAGAAAGCUGCUUUGCGUCAUUUUCUGUAUAGGCGUGUCGUAAGUUUAAUUUUUCCUUAAACAUUAAUGAUUGUUCAGUUUAAAAUUCUAAAAUAUGCAUUAAGUACUUAUCAAUACAAGGAGACGAACAUUUUGUUGCUGUAAUGCUAACCGCUUACUAAUAACUGUUCUAUACCCUUCUGAAUUAUAGCUAGGCUUAUCGAAAAUUUUUAGCAACUGACUAAGUUGUUUACACCGAGAUUGUCAGCACAUAGUGCCACCCAAACAAUUGGAUCAUUAUUUCCAGAGUUGUCUUCAACAAGAGGAUGCUCAGGUAUUCCAGAAAGCAAGAAACAUGAAAAUUAAGUGUCGGAAAGAAAUUUAUAACAUUGCUAAGCGAUAAGAAGCGCUGCAGUGCAAUAACCGACCACCACCACAAUCAUCAAUAUUUAUUAUUAUCUAAACUAUUGAAACCAAAUUACAUUAUAGUUGUCUAUUUUCAUAUCUUAACAGGUAUUAAAUACAUGAUGAAUAAAAAAACUAUCUAGUCUA